rnacentral:rRNA from 1 species
AGGGAAUCUUCCGCAAUGGACGAAAGUCUGACGGAGCAACGCCGCGUGAGUGAUGAAGGUUUUCGGAUCGUAAAGCUCUGUUGUUAGGGAAGAACAAGUGCGAGAGUAACUGCUCGCACCUUGACGGUACCUAACCAGAAAGCCACGGCUAACUACGUGCCAGCAGCCGCGGUAAUACGUAGGUGGCAAGCGUUGUCCGGAAUUAUUGGGCGUAAAGGGCUCGCAGGCGGUUUCUUAAGUCUGAUGUGAAAGCCCCCGGCUCAACCGGGGAGGGUCAUUGGAAACUGGGAAACUUGAGUGCAGAAGAGGAGAGUGGAAUUCCACGUGUAGCGGUGAAAUGCGUAGAGAUGUGGAGGAACACCAGUGGCGAAGGCGACUCUCUGGUCUGUAACUGACGCUGAGGAGCGAAAGCGUGGGGAGCGAACAGGAUUAGAUACCCUGGUAGUCCACGCCGUAAACGAUGAGUGCUAAGUGUUAGGGGGUUUCCGCCCCUUAGUGCUGCAGCUAACGCAUUAAGCACUCCGCCUGGGGAGUACGGUCGCAAGACUGAAAC